GGCCAUGUUGGUUAACAGAUCCUCAUUUGCUGGAUAAUUGGCGAUGAUCUUUAUCGGUUGUCGUCAGUUGCCAGAACGUUUACUUUGAGAAAAUUAGAGUGCUAAAAGCAGGCUCACGCCUAUAUAUAUUGCAUGGAAUAAUGAAAUAAGAUCUCGAUUUUAUUUCGUUGGUUUUAGAAAUUGAGAUAAUGAUUAAUAGGAUCAGAGGGGGGCGUACGUACUGUGGUGUGAGAGGUGAAAUUCUUGGAUCGCCACAGGACGAACAGCAGCGAAGGCGUUCGCCAAGAAUGUUUUCAUUAAUCAAGAACGAAAGUUUGAGGUUCGAAGACGAUUAGAUGCCGUCCUAGUUCAAACCAUAAACGUUGCCAACUGUCUUUUAGAUGCGGUUAUUUAUAUGACUCAUCUGGCGGAUCUCGAGAAAUCUAAGUUUUUAGGUUCCGGGGGAAGUAUGGUUGCAAAGCUGAAACUUAAAAGAAUUGACGGAAGGACACACAAGAAGUGGAGCCUGUGGCCUAAUUUGACUCAACACGGGAAACCUUACUCGGCCAGGACACUUUUAGGAUUGACAGAUUGAGAGCUCUUUCUUGAUUAGGUGGGUGGUGGUGCAUGGUCGUCCGUAGUUCGUGGAGCGAUUUGUCUGAUUAAUUUCGAUAACGAACGAGACUCCGGCUUACUAAAUAGUCUAAAGUUCGAAGGGACUUUUCAAGACUUCUUAGCAGGAUAAAUGG
rnacentral:rRNA from 1 species